rnacentral:rRNA from 1 species
UGCCAGCCGCCGCGGUAAUACGGAGGGGACAAGCGUUAUUCGGAAUUACUGGGCGUAAAGGGCACGUAGGCGGCCUGGUCAGUGAGAAGUGAAAGCCCCCGGCUUAACCGGGGAACUGCUUCUCAUACUGCUAGGCUAGAGUGUGGGAGAGGAGGAUAGAAUUUCCGGUGGAGCGGUGAAAUGCGUAGAGAUCGGAAGGAACACCAGUGGCGAAGGCGAUUCUCUGGACCACUACUGACGCUGAGGUGCGAAAGCGUGGGGAGCAAACAGGAUUAGAUA